UACGGAGGGUGCGAGCGUUGUCCGGAUUUACUGGGCGUAAAGAGCGCGUAGGCGGCUCGUUAAGUGUGAAGUGAAAUCUCUAGGGCUCAACCCAGAAACUGCUUUACAUACUGGCGAGCUGGAGUGAUGCAGAGGUUUGUGGAAUUCCUGGUGUAACGGUGAAAUGCGCAGAUAUCAGGAGGAACACCGGUGGCGAAGGCGGAUCUCUGGGCCUUACCUGACGCUGAGGCGCGAAAGCUAGGGGAGCGAACAGG
rnacentral:rRNA from 1 species